rnacentral:rRNA from 1 species
UGGGGAAUAUUGGACAAUGGGCGCAAGCCUGAUCCAGCCAUGCCGCGUGAGUGAUGAAGGCCUUAGGGUUGUAAAAGCUCUUUCGUCCGGUGGAAAGAUAAUGACGGUAACCGGAGAAGAAGCCCCGGCUAACUUCGUGCCAGCAGCCGCGGUAAUACGAAGGGGGCUAGCGUUGCUCGGAAUCACUGGGGCGUAAAAGCGCACGUAGGCGGAAUCGUUAAGUCAGGGGUGAAAUCCUGGAGCUCAACUCCAGAACUGCCCUUGAUACUGGCGAUCUCGAGUUCGAGAGAGGUUGGUGGAAACUCCGAGUGUAGAGGUGAAAUUCGUAGAUAUUCGGGAAGAAACACCCAGUGGCGAAGGCGGCCAACUGGCUCGAUACUGACGCUGAGGUGCGAAAGCGUGGGGAGCAAAACAGGAUUAGAUACCCCUGGUAGUCCACGCCGUAAACGAUGGAUGCUAGCCCGUUGGGGGGUUUACCUCUCAGUGGCGC